AUGGCGGGGCUCCGGGCGGCCUUGACCCUGUUGGAGUGCGGGGGGGACCUCCAGCCCCCCGGGCGGUCCUUGACGUUGCUGUGCCGCGCCUCUGGGUUCAAUUUCGGGAGUUAUGGAAUGUUCUGGAUGCGCCAGAGACCCGGGCAGACACUGGAAUACAUCGCCAGUAUCAAACGCAAUGGUGGCAGCACCGACGAUGGGCCGUCGGUCAAGGGCCGGGUCACGAUCUCCAGGGACAAUGGGCAGAGCUCGGUUACGCUGACCAUGAACAACCUCAAGGACGACGAUUCCGCCACCUAUUUCUGUGCCAAACGUGCUACUAGUGAUUAUGAUGGUGCUGCUGCUUAUAGUGACGAUGGCCGUGGUGGAUCCAUCCCCGGCUCCGGGCGACCGUAA